AAGCGCUCAAUAAAUACGAAUGAAUGAAUGAAUGAAUGAAUGAAUGACCAGAAGCCCCUCAGCCACUGGGGAGACCAGCAUCCAAUGGACCCAACUAGUAGUUCUAAUUUCAUUCAUUUCUCAAAUAACCAUUUGUCUAUAUUGCAUUUCCAGGGCACUUGGAUUGAGUUAUGCAACUCUGUGAAAUGCUGAAAAGAUCAUCAGGAAGAUGCUUUUCCUAGCCAUACAUUGUUUUAUACUGAUGUGGCUGAUUUCUCAGUGUUCCACAAUGACACAGAGCAACCAUGAGAGAAAAAUUACAGCUGUGGGGUCCUCAGUGCUCUUCCUCGCCCCCAUCACCACCCACACCAAACAACUCAUCCAGUGGGAAUUCAUCAGGGACAUCCCACUCCAGGUCAUUGUGGAGUACAGUACCGCAACAGGCCGAGUGACCGUCUACCCAACCUACAAAGGCCAAGUCCAGUUCAAUCCAGAGAAUAGCUCCCUCUUGUUGAUGAAUGUGCAAGAGACUGACAGUGGCACCUACAAAGCUGUCAUUGAUCUGAAUGAUAAAGAAGCCAGGAAAACUCUACUGAAAGUUAUAAGUGUUUCCAUUCCUUGAAAAGGUUUCCCGGGUAACAGCUAACCACUUUAUGGGGAGCCUGUGUCCGAGCCCCAGGCAGGAUCAGCCACGCAGUUAUCUUGUAAUGUGUCAGAGGGCAAAGUGGAUAAAGUUGCUUGGAGGAAGGAUGGGCAGCCUGUCCCACAAGAACACUGUUACCUCCUCUCUAAAAAUGCUCUGGUCAUAAAGCUAGUCAUGAAAUCUGACUGUGGAUUGUUCUCGUGCAAUGUCAGCAAUGAAAUCAGUUGGCGAGAAGCUUCUCUCAACUUCACUAUUGAAGAUAAGUGUUCAGCCAUCACUGGUAUUUACUGAUUUCUUACUGUGUGCUACGUGCUAGAGAGAGUACAGUAUAAGAGAGUUGGUAAACAUGUUCCCUGCCCAUAGGGAGCUUACAGUCCAGAGGGAGAGAAUUGAGAGUAUUGUGUAGCUUUUGGUGCAUUGAGGAAAAGUGGAUUGCAGGCACAAACUCAGAGUCUUGAUGGAGUGAACCACAUUAGAAUCAUACUAUACAGGGGUGUCCAGAGUUUUUCAGUAGUGGAUCGCUUGACUAGAAAACAUAUGUGUGGGCAGAAUGGAUAUUUUCUUGAUAACAGUGGUGGUCUAGUCUCUCCCUAAUCAACAAAAUUGUGUUUGUAGUGGAAAUAUAGUUUAAGUAACAAUGGAAUCCACUUUAUUAGUACAGAAGGGGAGAUCUGAAAAAUGGAGAUUAAGACUGUGAGCCCUAAAUGGGAUGUAGACUUUGUCCAACCUGCUUAUCUUGUAUCUACCCCAGUACUCAGAACAGUGCCUGGGAUAUAUUGAACAUUUAAUAAAUAAAUAUCAUUUACCAUACAAGUCUAGUGCUAACCAUCAGUCAAUCUGGGUCAAGUGAAUGUGAAUCCUGGUAUUUAUCAGACUGAAAGCUUCUCACAAACUGCAGGGUAUAAGACACAAUACAUUUCAAUUCGAACUCUGAGCUUAUACCACUGAGGCAACAUGUUACUUUAGGUCAUGAUGUAAGCAGAGUGGAAUUCAACUUGAAUAACUCAAAAUCCUGUCAUGAAUUCCAUUCAGCUUAGUUACAAUUUCUGAUUAAUUUAAAAAUGGUAACGGACAACUGGCAGCAGUCUGUUCUAGGAUGGCAGUUCCCAGCAGGUGGUGGGGCUCUCCUGGUUUGGUUAUCUUGUGUGCUGGCUAUUAUAAGGCAAGAAAAAUCAUGCUAAAAAUCUUAAACAGGCCACAUUUCACAUUCAAAUAGACUAUUUUUGGACUGCGGGCCAUAUGUUGGACCCCCUGAUAUAUUGAGUCACCCAAAUAUGAAGGGGUUAUCUCUGCAACCGAGCAUGGCUGUAAAGAAUGAAAUGUGAGCCGGUAAAUACUUUACACCCUGUUGUCUCAUGAGGGCUGAUUUUUUUUUACCUUGUGACUUUUAGAUGUUGUUAGUAGCUUUAUCUCCACAGCUCAUAGGUUACCCCAUUGCCUUUGCUCAGUGGUGCAAAGCACUAUGGGAAUUCCAUCAGAUGUUCUACUAGCAUGUGCUAAUAAUGCAUAUGCUGUCUGAGUGGAGUUUCCAGAAUCCAGAUGAAUUCAGAUGAUUCUUGAUGUCUGUUGAGUUGGAAGAGCUUCUCUCACCAACUCCCAGGUUUUGGGUUGCAUUCUUGAGUAUGAAACUGGACCUGUCACUAGAGGGGGGUGAGAAAUGGAAUAAGGUGGAUUACCAGGAGUUAGAGAAACAUUGUUGCCUAGUGGAUAGAUCAUGGACUGGGAGUUAGAAGACCUGGAUUCUAAUGCUGGCUCUGCCACUUGUCUACUGUGUGACCUUGGGCAAGUCACUUCACCUCUCUGUGCCUCAGUUCCCUCAUCUGUACAAGUUGCAUUGAGACUGUGAGCCCCAUGUGGAACAGAGACUGUGUCCAACCCAAUUUGCUUGUAUCUACACCAGAGCUUAGUACGUGCCUGAUGUGUAAGUGCUUAACAAAUUACAUUUUUUUCUGAUAAAACCACUAAUAUCAUCAAGAUUCCUUUAGCCUUAGUCCUCUUGCCUAUCUCUUUGAGCAGCCAGACUUUCUCAGUUGCUUGCCAGAGACUGGUGGAUCAAUGGUGUUAAUUGUUUUAUUAAAGUCAAUGAUCCCAGUGUAGUGGUCCCUUCAUUCCUGUGAAUCUUUGAUGCUACAAAGACACUAUUAACUGAGUAAUAUUGUGGGCUACAGUCACAGACAUUUUGAUGUUGCUAAGAAACUGAAUCGAAAGGAUUCUUGUUAGGAUCUGGCUGACCAUGGAGAGCAUUGAAAUGUCACAUUAAUUGCAGAAAUCCAAUUUCUUCUAUUUUCCCGAACUCCAAACUCGAGCUCUACUCCUUCAACUCUCUUCAUAAAAUGGCCAUAUAGCAUUAGCGGCUUUGUCCUAGCAGAAUCAUUGCAUGCCUGUGGUGGGGAUUAAUAGCUUCACUCGUAAGGCAAAAGUGAAAAUGAACAUUUGAGGUAAAGCUGAACAUGAAACGUCCUGGAAAUGCUUCUCCAGUGGGUGGUCGGACAAUCUUUUAUUACCUCUACAUUUACUACCACUACACUUGCCAAUAAUAACUCUUUAUGAAUGAAUUGGGAAAAUGUGAAUUCAGAGAUCUGGGAUUGAUUUAUGCUUUGGUUUCUCCUGUUAUUUUGCUUGUACCUUGGAAAACUACUUUAAUGAUCAGUGUUCAAAGGGGAAAAUCUAAGGAAGGAAUUUGAACCUAGUUUAGAAUCUGUGCUGUCACUCUCCUCUAUGUUUAUUUGCCUCCCAACACCCUGUCCUCUCCUUUCUGAUUGUUUUAUUCAGCCUUUUUAUACCUGGUUUCCUUUUUCUUUCUUCCCUUUAGGCCUCCAUCCUUCACUGUGGCCCGCCUUGCAUUGUUCCAUUGUUGCAUUGGCCUUGUCAUGCAUUGCCAUUGUGAGCUUCUGCCUGUUUCUGCCCAGUAAAAUGAUAAGUUAGUAUCAGAAAGCAUUUGGGUAUUUUCUAGCACUACCAGGGUGGUACUGCACAGAUGCUUUGCUAGACAUGAAGGGAAAGCUGAGCCUCUUCUGUCCUUCCCAAAUUCUCUAAUGUAGCUAGUUUUCUUCCCAGAUGCACCACUCAGAACCAUCAGUUAAAUUCUAGCUGUUGGGCACUUUGGAGAGGGAAAAUUUCCUAUGCCCACUUAAAAUAUGGACAAGGGUGACUUUCUGCCCCAACCAUGGGAGCAUAAUGGAGUUGGCCAUCAGAUAGCUGAAAUCACCACUCCACAAUAGCAGGCCUGCCUGUGCCACCUUAUUUCUUCUCACCUCAUCUUAAGUCGCCCUGCCUUUGCCCAGGUAUCAGUUGUGGUUGGCUCAGGUGCAUUUAGGCCUCACUGGUAUCCAUCAAGAUGGAUGAACUGUGGUACCAUCCCAUGCCAAUGAUCAGAGCCAAAAUAUUAGAAGACUGCUCUUCUUCUCCUAUUGGUUAAUAAUUGGUUGGAGGUUAAUUUAUAUCUAACUGCAUCCUUUUGUCUUUAUCAUUUGUAUCAAAGCUGUGACUCUUACCUAAUGAAUAUUGGCCUUAAUGAAUACUGAGAAGUCUUAUUGGUUAGGGCAUGGGCUGGGGAUUCAGAAUGUCCUAAUUCUGGCUGCACCAUCUGUCUACUGAGUGACCUUGGGCAAGUGACCUAACUUGUCUGUGACUCAGUUACUUCAACUGUAAUAUGAGGAUUAAGACUGUUAACCCAAUGUGGGACAUGAACUGCGUCCAGCCUGUGUAACUUGUGUCUGCCCCAUUAUUUAGUAUAGUGCCUGGAACAUAGUAAGAACUUAACAAUUACCAUUUUAAUAUAUACUACUGAUUGGGUCCGAUGGCCUGCUCCAUUAGAUGCAGGGUCAGCAUCUUUUCUUCCAGUAUAUGUUCACAAGCACCUAAUUCAGUGCUUCACAUCUAUAGGUGCUCAUUAAAAGUGCUUAAUGUUAAUAGUAACAAUGAUUUUUUUCUAGAAGGACAAUUGUGGAGAGCUCUCACUGUUUUCCAGGAAGGAGCAGUGUGUUUGUCUUCUUUGCUACUUUUAGUCACUGGUUUCCUCUGGAUAGAAGAGAAAGGUAGAUUCCCUUUGUUUCUGAUUAUAACAAUCACUAUUGGUUGCCCAUCACAUGACAGGGAGAGAAUAAGAAAAGCUUUCUCUUGGAGUAGAGAGCCUAAGACUAAGAUUUAAGAGGCAAACAGAAAAAGAAAAGUCAAAUUUGACUGGGAAAGGAGGGAAAUUACAUUCUUCACAAAUGAAAAGCCUUGUAUCCAAGGCCUUGAAGCCAAGCUGAGAAACAGCGUGGCCUACUGCAUAGUGCAGGGUCCUGGGUGACAGAAGGACCUGGGUUCCAAUCCUGACUCUGCCACUUGUCUGCUGUGUGACCUUGGGCAAGUCACUUCUCUUUUGCAUGCCUCAGUUACCUCAUCUGUAAAAUGAGCAUAAAACUUGUGAGCCCCAUGUGGGACAUGGACUUUGUCCAACCUGGUUAGCUCGUAUCUACUUUAGUGGUUAGUACAGUGCUUGACACAUAGCAAGUACUUAGCAAAUACCAAAAAAGAAAUGUAUAAAAAAAUCCAACACUUUUAUUCCAGGGUCCAUUUUCCCCUGCUCAUUUCUCUUCCAACAGCUUUCCUUACCCUCUUUCUCUGGUCCCACAACACACAAGUUGUAGAGCAGGGGCAGUUAAGUAUUUUGGACAUCUUUGGGGACAGAGGUAAACUCUUGGCUUUUCCAUAAGCUCGGCCCCUCACUUGUGAUGGUAGCUAAGUUGGGAGCAGCCUCCCAGGCAUACAGUGAGGGAUUAAGCUGACUGUUUAUUUUCCACAGGUCCCAGUGUAUAUCUUAUCCUGGUCCUUUCCCUUCUUUUCUUGGUCAUUCCUGUGACAUUCACCAUAGCUGCAAUACUGGCCAUCCACCCUCCAAGAAUUAAAAAGAUAAUGACAAAAAAAG
rnacentral:lncRNA from 1 species